UACGGAGGGUGCAAGCGGUGGCCGGAAUCACUGGGCGUAAAGGGCGCGUAGGCGGCUCAUGAAGGCUGUGGUGAAAGUCCGGGGCUCAACCUCGGAUCGGCCGUGGCGACUCGUGGGCUGGAGCACUGUAGAGGCGGGUGGAAUUCCGGGUGUAGCGGUGGAAUGCGUAGAGAUCCGGAAGAACACCAGUGGCGAAGGCGGCCCGCUGGGCAGUGGCUGACGCUGAGGCGCGACAGCGUGGGGAGCAAACAGG
rnacentral:rRNA from 1 species